rnacentral:rRNA from 1 species
GACGAACGCUGGCGGCGUGCUUAACACAUGCAAGUCGAACGAAGUGGCGAACGGGUGAGUAACGCGUAAUCAACCUGCCCUUCAGAGGGGGACAACAGUUGGAAACGACUGCUAAUACCGCAUACUGAAGGAGGGGAUGGCGUUGGAUUCGCUGGUUGGGGGGGUAACGGCCCACCAAGGCGAUGAUCAGGAGCCUGGUGGGGUAGGUGAACGGCAAAAAUGGGACUUGGAAACGGCCCAGAACCCUACGGGAGGCAGCAGUGGGGAAUCUUCCGAAAUGGACGAAAGGCUGACGGAGCAAAGCCGCGUGAGUGAUGACGGCCUUCGGGUUGGAAAGCUCUGUUAAUCGGGACGCGGUACCGGAAGAGAAAGCCACGGCUAACUACGUGCCAGCAGCCGCGGUAAUUC